UACGUAGGGGGCAAGCGUUGUCCGGAAUCAUUGGGCGUAAAGCGCGUGUAGGCGGCCAGAAAAGUCCGCUGUGAAAACUCGAGGCUCAACCUCGAGACGCCGGUGGAAACCGUAAGGCUAGAGUCCGGAAGAGGAGAGUGGAAUUCCUGGUGUAGCGGUGAAAUGCGCAGAUAUCAGGAGGAACACCCGUGGCGAAAGCGGCUCUCUGGGACGGUACUGACGCUGAGACGCGAAAGCGUGGGGAGCAAACAGG
rnacentral:rRNA from 1 species